UAUUUAAAAUUACCUGUCAUUGGUAUGUACUUCUAGCUGAACAUGUGUAUCAAAGCAUGAACUUCUGGCAUUGCGCUGUCUGUAAGUUCCACUACAUAAAAUUUCAAAAUUUCUAUAUCAGAUAAUUAUAGACUGUCAUUUCUUGAGCUAUAGUAAAGAAUUUCUGGUUCAAGUAAAGACAUUCAAAAUCAAAUUAGCCUUGCUUCUGACAUCUAAUGUUACUCUGAAUCCCAGACUCUAAGAAAUUGUACUCUUGUUAUUCUCUGUCUUUUCAGUUGCAACAGUUGUGGCUUAGACAGGCAAGUGGUAUUCUUUUAAAAAUCACACAGCUCUUGCUUCAUAGAGGAAAGACUAAAGGGAAUCUUGAGAUUUUCUAGUGAGGACUUUUAUCCAUAAUCUCCAGUGUGCUUCCCCGUGGCUGUCCAUGACCCCAGUUGGGUCAUAUGCCCAUUCAUGAACUAACCUUUAGACUUCAGUCUGGAUUUCUGACAAAUCAUCAACAAAGGAGAAGACUGAUCAUAAUUAUUUUCACCAGAGAGAGCAAGAAUCCUGAUAAAUAGCAGCUCCCACUAAUGUAGAUUGGCUACUGAGUGCAUCAUGUUUUGAAGAAGGUGUAAACACAACUCUUGCGGGAGGGAGAACAA
rnacentral:lncRNA from 1 species